UACAGAGGGUGCGAGCGUUAAUCGGAAUUACUGGGCGUAAAGCGUGCGUAGACGGUUCUGUAAGUCGGAUGUGAAAUCCCCGGGCUCAACCUGGGAAUUGCAUUCGAGACUGCAAAGCUUGGGUGCGGAAGAGGGAAGCGGAAUUUCCGGUGUAGCGGUGAAAUGCGUAGAUAUCGGAAGGAACAUCAGUGGCGAAAGCGGCUCACUGGACCACAACUGACGCUGAGGCGCGAAAGCUAGGGGAGCAAACAGG
rnacentral:rRNA from 1 species